rnacentral:lncRNA from 1 species
AGGUACUCCAUUGUCUGACGGAUCUGAGAACGCUGUCUGGGCUUCGUGCCAAGGGCUGGUAUUCACACAGCAACGACGGCCUCACAGAAGAGCUGUGGGAAGCAGGAGGGCGAGCCUCUCUUAGGGUGCCACUACUAUGGAGACACAGCUGGGCUGAACAAGAUUUGCUUCAAACGACAACAAGAGAGACAGAAAGUAUCUGAUUCAACCGCUGCCCAAGCAGGCAGGCACCAGAAGAGCUAGCAGCCAAUCCGGCCAUGCUCGAAGCCAGUCCUGCAGCUCAGCCAAUCAGUGACAUCAUUGGACAUCUCUUCAGAUUGCUCAUCAUGAUAUGAAGAUGAAACUUAAUAGCAAUAACCAAUGGAUGCUUUUCUUGGAUUCAGUCCAACACUCUAGAGACCAGAUCUUCAGGAAUGUAACUGGGAUAAUUGUCCAAAUCGAAUCCCAUGCCCUGUCAUGCACACCAGAAUAGGAGUCCUGUCUUAACUGAGCAAUAUACACUAUGGAGAGAUCCUUCAAAACCCGUCGGGAUGAAUAACAGAUGAAUUCAUAAACUGUUCAUCUCUGUUAUCCUGAAUGGUCACUCAGACAACAUUUUACUCAACUAUAAAGGGGAACACUUAAAGUGCAUAUGAGAAGAGAAGAGAAUGACCACAGGAGAAAAUCAU